rnacentral:lncRNA from 1 species
CGUCAUUUGCCGUACACCCGCUGCCCUUGUCACGGCAUAAGAAGACGCAAAACGCUAGUGUGCUAUCGAUUUGCUUGCAAAGCGUUAGUCCUUUCAUAUUUACCCCUUAACCUCACUUCAAAAGUUCUUUAAGUCUCAGAAUGUCGUCUUCGUCUGGGCUGCGUUCCAUGGCCGUGGACGUUCCGCGCAUGCGGUGUGGAGCUGCAUCGUCAACUUCUGAAAAGCAGCCAACGGCCACGCAAGCGCAAGGUAUACCUCAGGAGCCGCCGCGCCUUGUCCAAACGAAAACACUGACCGGCGUCUGCUGCUUUUCCCUGCUUGAACUUGAAUAUGUCCAAAUACCCACAGAUUCCUUCUGUUAUUAUGCCACGAGGUGAGAGAGGUUACCUUUUCACUGCAGCUUCUGUGCUUCGCGGCAUGCGAACGGGCUUGGUCCUUACCUAUUGGUUAAUUUGGUGCCUUGUAGUCCUACGGCGGUGGCAUUUUAUGAUUUCUCUUUGGGUUCCGCUGGCCGAGCUGAACAACCAACAUUUUCUGGAGUCAACUUCUUCUCACGUUUGUUUGCCGCGUCGUCAUCGUCAUAAAUGGUUACAACGUCGCCUGCGCUAUGUUCAAGGCUGAUUGUACUCGCUUUCUAUGCAUUGGCUUAUCGGCCAGUUUGGGCUUUUCGCCUGUCGAAUGUGUGACGACCUGUCCUCGUUGUGUCUCCUGACGUGCAAGCGCUGUUAUGACUAGUUCCCAUUUAGCGAUUGUUAACAAUUCAUGUACACAAUUAGGCUGAUGCGCCCUCAAUUAAUGCUGGCUAUGGUGUUACCAGGUUCAUAUUGAACUGUGUUGGCGGUAAGGAGGUUGCAUUUGCUCCGCGCAAUCGUGUGUGAAGCGCUCUGCGCUGUCCCAACCAGCAUCAUGUGCAUAGGGCAUCAUGUUCAUAGUCCACUUGCAUUUACUGCUGUCUUGAGUGUGUCUUGAGUGUUUUUUCUCUUCCGCGGCGUGCUGUUAGGCGGGAUUCCCCUUCGUGCAUUCUCGGUUGCGUGCCUGCUAUUUGGUGCCCCGGAGCUCGGCGAUUUUUAUUCUUGAUUAGCGCCCGUGACACGCGUGACGAGUAACAAAAUAGACGUGUCAGGAUGCUGGUCGUCUCGAUAGGUGUGGCGCGCGUAAACUUGCGCGCUAUUUGACGCGAUUUAUCGCUGAGAUCAUCCCUGGAAGGGCAUGGCGGAGCACGUUGCGGCUGCUAUGGAAAGGGGUAUGCAAGGGGGAUAAGACCCGCAGGGGUUGCCGAAUACAUUUCUUUAUUCUACUUUCUUGAUGGAGAGUGCUUGUCUUACUGCCGAGGCUGUCUUGCCUUUGCCCUCACUGGUUUGAAAUGUUAAUAUGCACCUAUGCACGUUUCUGAUAGGACAUGCUUUCCUGUCAAUGGUUUUGGAGCUAUGUACGGCCAAGUGGAUGUUGUUGUGGGGAAUUAAUGCAUUCUGAUCGUUGCAGGCAUUCAGACGAAUCCGAUGAUGAAGUGCACAGUGCACCGGAGAGAUUGUUGGAUUUCCGCUAUAGCUUUUUGCUGAGAAGACAAUACAUGUAAUGGCCCCCCAUUGAAGAUUCGUUUUGGACGCUUGGCAAAUGGUGGGCAAAUGAUGAGUUAACACAUAUCACCGCCGGCAGGCAGAGUUAAGACAUUCAUAUGAAUUUUAAGCUUCCACACCAAACCGUUCCAACAAUACCUUGACUCAAAGUAGAAGAUUAUGAUGCUGCCUUGUUGUACCUCACACGACUUGGUUCACAAAAGCGAACCAGUAAUGCAAAAACACCCAUCGCCGUGGGCAGAAACGCUCUGCCUUCGCCGACCACAUCCCCCCGCCCCCUCCCCCCACCGCACAUUGCCAGCAGCUCCCCCAAGUAGCUGUCUAGCCUUCCCCGCCCGAGCAUGCAACCCCGCGCUCGCGUCUCCCCCACGUAGGGACUUGCUCCUCGUACCGCACCACCACCACACCCGCCACGAACACACAGGCAGCCGCGGCCACCAUCAACGUCACUUCCACCCCAACCCAGUCCGCCACGGGCCCCCCUAAAGCCCCGAUUGCAUAGCCCAGGUCCCGCCAGAAGCGGUACGUCGCCAUCGCAGCCGCCAUGGAAUGCCCUGGCGACACCUCUCCACCCUCUGCCUCCGCUAUUCUACCCCCUGUCAUCGCUAAACCUCCCGCCCUCCCCGCCCCGCCACCCGCCGCCGCCUCAUAACCCUGGCCCCUCUGCCGCUCGAGCUGGUGGUGAUGGUCCACCACGGCCGCCGGCAUCACCGGGUAAAACACACCAGCACCCGAGCCCAUGAGGCAGCUUCCCAGCAU